CCUACGGGCGGCAGCAGUGGGGAAUAUUGCACAAUGGGCGCAAGCCUGAUGCAGCCAUGCCGCGUGUGUGAAGAAGGCCUUCGGGUUGUAAAGCACUUUCAGCGGGGAGGAAGGCGGUGAGGUUAAUAACCUCAUCGAUUGACGUUACCCGCAGAAGAAGCACCGGCUAACUCCGUGCCAGCAGCCGCGGUAAUACGGAGGGUGCAAGCGUUAAUCGGAAUUACUGGGCGUAAAGCGCACGCAGGCGGUCUGUCAAGUCGGAUGUGAAAUCCCCGGGCUCAACCUGGGAACUGCAUUCGAAACUGGCAGGCUAGAGUCUUGUAGAGGGGGGUAGAAUUCCAGGUGUAGCGGUGAAAUGCGUAGAGAUCUGGAGGAAUACCGGUGGCGAAGGCGGCCCCCUGGACAAAGACUGACGCUCAGGUGCGGAAGCGUGGGGAGCAAACAGGAUUAGAUACCCGGGUAGUC
rnacentral:rRNA from 1 species